rnacentral:rRNA from 1 species
GACGAACGCUGGCGGCGUGCCUAAUACAUGCGAGUAGAACGCUGAAGAGAGGAGCUUGCUCUUCUUGGAUGAGUUGCGAACGGGUGAGUAACGCGUAGGUAACCUGCCUUGUAGCGGGGGAUAACUAUUGGAAACGAUAGCUAAUACCGCAUAACAAUGGAUGACACAUGUCAUUUAUUUGAAAGGGGCAAUUGCUCCACUACAAGAUGGACCUGCGUUGUAUUAGCUAGUAGGUGAGGUAACGGCUCACCUAGGCGACGAUACAUAGCCGACCUGAGAGGGUGAUCGGCCACACUGGGACUGAGACACGGCCCAGACUCCUACGGGAGGCAGCAGUAGGGAAUCUUCGGCAAUGGGGGCAACCCUGACCGAGCAACGCCGCGUGAGUGAAGAAGGGUUUCGGAUCGUAAAGCUCUGUUGUAAGUCAAGAACGAGUGUGAGAGUGGAAAGUUCACACUGUGACGGUAGCUUACCAGAAAGGGACGGCUAACUACGUG